rnacentral:rRNA from 1 species
CAUCGCCUACGGGACGCAGCAGUGAGGAAUAUUGGUCAAUGGGAGAGAUCCUGAACCAGCCAAGCCGCGUGAGGGAAGACGGCCCUAUGGGUUGUAAACCUCUUUUGUCGGAGAACAAAACCCGGGACGUGUCCCGGACUGCGUGUAUCCGAAGAAAAAGCAUCGGCUGACUCCGUGCCAGCAGCCGCGGUAAUACGGAGGAUGCGAGCGUUAUCCGGAUUUAUUGGGUUUAAAGGGUGCGUAGGCGGUCCGUUAAGUCAGCGGUAAAGUUGCGGGGCUCAACCCUGUCGA